rnacentral:tRNA from 1 species
GCGGAAGUAGCUCAGUUGGUAGAGCACUGGCUUCCCAAGCCGGUUGUCGCGGGUUCGAGUCCCGUUUUCCGCU